AGAAAUGGAUUCACUCAGUCAACUGGAUGUGAGAGAUUUGAGCUCAGUAAUCAGCUGGAGGAACAAAGAGACUGUAAUCAGGAGAAGCCCCUGAAGGGAAGGAUUGCUUUGAGAGCAAAAGGAAAACACAGUGUGGGAACACAGUGUACAAGGCUGUAUGAAAGUUAGUCCUUGGGAAGAACCCAUGCAGCUUUUUCUACUGUGCUAAAUCAUACCUCAAGUUCACCCCAGACUGCGCCUAUUUGAUGUAAGUGUUUUUGAACUAAAUGCAACUCGAAGCUGGAAAUGAGGGACAGCUCUGUUCGUUCUCCUCCUUUCCCACCCAUAGACAACUCUUUUUGGCUCAGAGAUGGCACCAGAAGACUCUGCAAAGAAACUUUGUCCAUUAGCUUCUUCCCACGUUUUAACCUUCCCACCUCUGGAAGCCGGACAAGGCUCUCUUCAUCCAUCAGUUCCCCACAGAUGCAGUGUUCUUUGUGGAAGAUGCUGUAUAAGCCAGAGUUCUAGGCCACUGCCUUGAGUUACCUUUCAUGGCGGUGUCUCCCAAGUGACAUGUACCCACAUGUUAAUAAAUUGGCUUCAUUUUCUGUGCUAA